ensembl:lncRNA
CUUUGAUGGGCAUUCCAACCAGGAACAAAGUAAAAGAUAAUCAUUACGAAAAAAAACUCUUCCUGUUCACUUCUUAAAACCCAAAAACACACUGCAGUAGCACCCUAAACUAAAACUACCAGUGAGUUCCCUGUUUUCCUUUCUGAACAAUUCAAAGGUUCCUCUCUAUCUCCCCACACAUCCACCAACCACUGGAACACAUCUCCAAAGUUCUGCCGGGCCAGCUCAGCUUCCCCUCAGAAGAAGUGCCGCCACCUGCCAGAUGAAGGAGCCUUUUGAGAGGCAGCUGGUAUCGUGAUUGGACUGUACUUUGGUCUGUUCCAAUCCAGCUUCAGCUCCAGAGACGGCAGGCGGGACGAGUCAACGGAGGCCUGGUGGACGAAGGCAUGCAGCUGAGUACAAUCCAGAAAACAACAGAGGAGUGCAGCAGCCCAGAACCAGAACAAGCAGAACCAAAGAACUACAGACUCUUCACAACCUGCUCAAACUCUUGGUACAGGACCUCACCACACGGGUCAAGAAGGUUUCUGUCUCAUUUCUACUCUGAAGCUCACCUUCUCCUGCUCAAACUGCUGACAAAUGUUUCUGCUGCUCUAAAGUCUGGUCUCCAGAACUUCCUAAAAACUCUCAAAGUCUCUUCUGCUGCAGGUUGCUUUGUAGAACUGUUCCAGAAAACCUCACUAAACCACAUGGAGGGGCCUCAAGAUAGUCCAAAUGAAACCAUACAAAAACCAAACUAGCACAAUCCAAACGCUAAAGUCUCCUGCAGCCUACCAGAGAACCUCUGAGAACAGAGAAUCAGGACAGGAACUCUUACCUUCUGGACAACCAAUGUGGGUUCACAAACAAGAAUACAGAAUGUGUCUGACCAAAAACCUCUGAAGACUCACUACAGCCAAGAUAAAGACACAACUCAGCUGCACCAAAUCCACUAAUCACUGCACACAUUAGCACCAUGUGCUAACUGUGGCUAAAGAACCUCAUUUACCAAGACAACUAUCCAGUACAAAGCCCUAAAACACACCAAGAAACACAUUAAAGACGAUUUUACUGCUGGAAGCUGCAAGCCAACGCCUAAAGAACACACUAAAGCAAUGGAGCCAAACCCGAUUCAGUGGUGAAGAGAAGCAGAGGAAAUGUUUGACUGGAGCUAAAUAAAGCAGGAAGACACUGAGCUGCUCAGGUGUUCCUGAUAACACCAAGCAGCCACCUGGACAGCCAAUAGGAACACAGCUUACUGGAAGUCCAGAGGGCUGGGUUAGUGAAGGAAAUUUAGUUUAAAGUUGAGGCAGAAAGUUGACAAAGAAAGUUGAAAAUCACCUUCUGAUACCUGAAAUCUCUGAGUUUUCACACAAAGAACACCUGAACAUGUCAAACUGGUUCCACAGUAGAACCAUCAUUGUAAAAACUUCAUAGUAUGGUGUGUUGUUCAAAAAACAUUACGACCCGGCUGUCUAGGGUCGCCGAGGAGCAACACAAAAACAGGACAAACGCUGGUUUCCAGGGGGUUAGGCGGCUAUUUAUUUGAAAGAAUACGUUUACAACAACACAACAUGUGAGCAGAAAAAUCACAAAGUCUGUCUUUAGUUCAGCUGAAAAUAUUAGUUUUUGUCUUUUUUAUUGACCAAACUUUUCAGGAAGUAGAUGAAGAAUAAUUAAAGCUCUCAUGUGGAAGUCCAACUUAUUUUGGAUCCUUGUGGAGAGUUUAGAGUUUGUAAAGCUGUUGAGUUUUUAGAGUCACAUGGAUUGUUUUGACAUUUAAUAACCGAGUCCUGAAAUAAAAUUACAGUUGUGGAUUUCUGUCAUUUAGUCUGGACUAAACAAAUAACAGCAGCAUAAAUCUCAAACAUCAUUAUGAGGAGUCUGGAUUGAGGUUUCUCACUUGAUAAUGAUCAAAACAUGAAACUUAAGUUGAUUUAAAGAAUAUUCCACCUUAAAUCUUUGAAUGCUGACCUAAAAGGUUGGUUUCAGGAAGUAUUCCAC